UGGAAGCUGGUUUCAAGUGGUGUUUUAGAGUGCUGAUCAAAUGAAUCUAGCACCAUUUGAAAUCAGUGUUCU
rnacentral:pre_miRNA from 8 species